UUAAGUUCAGCGGGUAUCCCUACCUGAUCCGAGGUCAAAAUUGUGAAGAUAGCUUCUGGGAGCCAAUACGACGGGCCCGGAGUUCGCUGUUUCUGCUGCGCUCGAAGCCAAUGUACCGGCCGCCAAUAAUUUGAGGCGAGUCCGCCGUGAAGCGGACAGUCACCCAACACCAAGCUUAGCCUGAAGGUUUAAAUGACGCU
rnacentral:misc_RNA from 1 species